ensembl:miRNA
CCGGGCCAGCAUGAUCGGCGUCAACAGCAUCCACAGCAGCGCCGGGCGGCUGCGCUCGCGC